rnacentral:rRNA from 1 species
GCAAAACGCGAAGAACCUUACCCACCUUUGACAUGUACGGAAUCCUUUAGAGAUAGAGGAGUGCUCGAAAGAGAGCCGUAACACAGGUGCUGCAUGGCUGUCGUCAGCUCGUGUCGUGAGAUGUUGGGUUGAGUCCCGCAACGAGCGCAACCCUUGCCAUUAGUUGCUACGAAAGGGCACUCUAAUGGGACUGCCGGUGACAAACCGGAGGAAGGUGGGGAUGACGUCAAGUCCUCAUGGCCCUUAUAGGUGGGGCUACACACGUCAUACAAUGGCUGGUACAAAGGGUUGCCAACCCGCGAGGGGGAGCUAAUCCCAUAAAGCCAGUCGUAGUCCGGAUCGCAGUCUGCAACUCGACUGCGUGAAGUCGGAAUCGCUAGUAAUCGUGGAUCAGAAUGUCACGGUGAAUACGUUCCCGGGUCUUGUACACACCG